CCUUUCUUAUUUUAUUUUUUAAGAUAAGAACCAAAACACCCUCUCCCCCUUUGUUUCUCAACUCUCUACUAGGGUUAUGAACCCUAACCUUUGCGCCGUCAACCCGUCGAUCAAGAGGAAGAAAGUCUCUCCUCUCCUCCCUUUGGGUCUGAUUUCAGCAACGGAGAGAGUCUCCGACGACACAAUCAUAGGGAUUCCGGGUGGUGUCAGAUGCGCGUGAGGCUGGUGGUUGGUGGUGUGCGUGGUGGCCAUUGGUGAGGAGCGGCGGCUGAUAAGAUGGGGGCUAGGGUUUGCUGUUGAAAACUUUUAAGCAAAUGGGCUAUUAGGGUUAGUUUGGUUAGUGGGCUGAUCGGGGUUUUAAAUUAGGUUUUGUUUUAAUUUUGGGCUAUGUAUUGGACUGUUUUUUUGUUUAUUUAGUUUGGGUUCUUUUAGGCCGAAUUUGGCUAUUACAGUCAUUAUCAGCAUUCAAUUUUUAACAAUAUGGAACAAUUUAUAAAAGUUUUAAUAUAAUCAUGUCAAACA